rnacentral:rRNA from 1 species
UACAGAGGGUGCGAACGUUGCUCGGAAUUACUGGGCGUAAAGCGCGUGUAGGCGGGACGGCAAGUCAGAUGUGAAAUCCCCGGGCUCAACCCAGGAACUGCAUCUGAAACUGCCGCCCUAGAGUCUCGGAGAGGGUGGUGGAAUUCCUGGUGUAGAGGUGAAAUUCGUAGAGAUCAGGAGGAACACCGGUGGCGAAGGCGGCCACCUGGACGAGUACUGACGCUGAGACGCGAAAGAGUGGGGAGCAAACAGG